ACGAACGCUGGCGGCAGGCUUAACACAUGCAAGUCGAGCGAGACCUUCGGGUCUAGCGGCGGACGGGUGAGUCACGCGUGGGAACGUGCCCUUCUCUACGGAAUAGCCCCGGGAAACUGGGAGUAAUACCGUAUACGCCCUUUGGGGGAAAGAUUUAUCGGAGAAGGAUCGGCCCGCGUUGGAUUAGGUAGUUGGUGGGGUAAUGGCCCACCAAGCCGACGAUCCAUAGCUGGUUUGAGAGGAUGAUCAGCCACACUGGGACUGAGACACGGCCCAGACUCCUACGGGAGGCAGCAGUGGGGAAUCUUAGACAAUGGGGGCAACCCUGAUCUAGCCAUGCCGCGUGAGUGAUGAAGGCCUUAGGGUUGUAAAGCUCUUUCAGCUGGGAAGAUAAUGACGGUACCAGCAGAAGAAGCCCCGGCUAACUCCGUG
rnacentral:rRNA from 1 species